rnacentral:rRNA from 1 species
GCAGCCUGAUGCAGCCAUGCCGCGUGUAUGAAGAAGGCCUUCGGGUUGUAAAGUACUUUCAGCGGGGAGGAAGGUGCUGAGGUUAAUAACCUCAGCAAUUGACGUUACCCGCAGAAGAAGCACCGGCUAACUCCGUGCCAGCAGCCGCGGUAAUGA